CACGUAGGGUGCGAGCGUUGUCCGGAAUUAUUGGGCGUAAAGAGCUCGUAGGCGGUGUGUCGCGUCGGCCGUGAAAACCUGCAGCUUAACUGUGGGCGUGCGGUCGAUACGGGCAUCACUGGAGUUCGGCAGGGGAGACUGGAAUUCCUGGUGUAGCGGUGAAAUGCGCAGAUAUCAGGAGGAACACCGGUGACGAAGGCGGGUC
rnacentral:rRNA from 1 species